GUAAAAUUCCAUUUGAUAAAUCCCAGGGAGUUUCCAGAGUUUUGUGUGUUGUGUUGUGUUUUGUUUUGCUUUGUUUCCACCUCCAGCUGGAUAUUGUGCUUGAAUUUGUGAGUCUUCUGACAAGACACAUUUCUCUUUAAAAUAGAGUGAUUUUUAAAUUGUCUUGUGAAAUCAACCCAGGUUACCUUGAGCCGUUUACUUACAUCAAGUCUACUCUUGCCAGUGUGUGCCAACAACCAGUUUGGCAAAGUGAAAUCUUAGCAUGUUUUGGAUGGUAGGAGCACUAACCUUACAGUGUUGAGGAGACAAAGAAAGCUACCAAGAUUUGUCACAUAUCUUUUUAAUUGUCCAUACCAUACCUACUAUGACUGUGUUAGACACACCACCGAAUAGAUGGUGUUCUUAGCAUCACUAUCAUAGUUUCACAUCAUUUCCUUGCCAUGGUUCUUCUAGGGAGCACUGGGGAGUCAGCCAAGAAAAAUGAGAUUAGAGGUAGUGACUUGUUUUAGUGUCCAGAAGCCCAGUAUGGAGUGGACCACAGUCCCCGGACAAGUGUGUGUAGAGCAUGCUGGCUCUUGUAUGAUUCCCAGUCUGCCUGUCUGCCUGACUUCUCUUCCUUUCCCUCUUUCUCUUUGUUGUUGUUUGAGACAGUCUUGCUACGGAGACCCAGGACUCACUUCUGCUUCUGCCUCCCAAAUGCUAGGAUCACAUACUUACUGAAAUCGUGUUCUUCCAAUUUCCUUUAAUUAGCUUGCUUUUAGAUUGGCUCGCCGCCAUCUCUAAAGCCUAGGAAAGAAGUGCAGACUUGGCUGUAAUGCCAGCAGCUUUCAGGCCAUAGUGUCGACUUCCUGCCUGCUUGUGGACAAAGGAAGUAUGCUGCUGAUGCCCAGACAGUGCCAUUUGAAUAUUAGGUGACCGUGAAACACCAUACUGCCAAGUGUCUGCAAACCAGAAGACAGUUUAGUUCAGGAAAUAUUUUGCCAAAUUCAGGGGCUUUAUUAAAAUCAAAGAGGAGAAAGAGGAAAUAUUUUGUCCUUAGAUGCUAAUAUGUUUUAGGCUUUCUUUUUCUGUUUUAUAAAGUUAACCCAGUAUUUACAUUUCCAUAUUGUGUGAAUUGAACCAUCUAAAUAUAUUUUUCUUUUGUUAUUGAAAGGUACCAAAGGCUUUUUAUGUUUUGUUUGGUUUGUUUGAUUUUAUUGUAGGGUUUGUUUUUUUUUUUCUAGAAAUACCUUUUAUAUAGACUAGUCCCCAAGUGUCUGGGUCUACUUCAGUCUGUGUAAUUGGUUUUUACCUCAGUUCAUUUGUAUUUGUCUCUCAAGGCAUUGGUGAAAUCUCAGAUUUUAUAUUCUGCUUUAAAGGGGAAUAAAUUCCAGAAAACAUGCAUUAUAAAGCUGGAGUUGUUUCUUCCCAUUCUCUCUCCUUUUCCAACUUUUAUCCUGGAGUUAGCUUGGAUCCUUCCUGUUGCUCUAGGAAGCUGAGUGUCUGCUCCCAUCCGUGAAAGGGUUAGUGAGUUGCUACAGAGCUCCCACAGUGACACAUGAGAAGAAUGCAUGUGGUUUUGUCUGGACGCACUGGGAGGAGAACAGAGCCCUCUCUGGCCACCCAGGACUGAGGUGGGGAUACUCAGCGGUUGGCCUAGGUGUGUCAUGUCCUCUUCCAGGCACACUGAAGCCACUAGCGGUUUGUCCCAUACUGGCUGCAGAAAACACCAGAGGUGGUCACAACUCCUCUCACUUGGGCUUCCUGUGAUCCACAUUUGGAAGCAGAAGAAAACAUUUCUGAAGGCGAGGGCUAAGGCUGAACUCACCAAGAAACAGUUGCAGAACUCAAAGGCCAAGACAGAUGGAGGGUGUGGGAGGGCUCAGACACAACAAGCUCUAAGAUGGCAGAAAUAUGACCGCUCACAAAACCAAAUCGGCCAAGAGCCCUGCCUGCGUGUGACCCAGAUUCCAAAGGGAGGGCUUCCUAGUUCUAGACAUGUGGGCCAGAUUAGCAUUGGCUGUCUUUUCUGCCAGCAUGAAUUAAGCCCUCAUAAGGUGAUGGGUCCUGUCUGAGGAUGAGGGGAGCAAAUGAGCACAGCAGGGACAGCCGCAGUCAGUGGCGGGCCAGGGAAGGUGUCAGUGCUGGUACAGCUCAUUAUCAGAAAGGUUAAAGGUUUUUUCCUACUAAAACCAUCCUCACUUUUUAUACAUGCAACGGACUGUACGCGUAUAUACAUACAUAUCUACUGUAGUUUAAAGAGUAAUAAUAAUAGCCCCCAUAUGCCUCCAGCCUGCCAUGCUGCCUUUCUCCCUAGGCACCCCAUGUGCGCUUCCCUGACCUUCUCUUUCUCCCUGUUGAAUAUAGAAAGCCUCACCCUGUGUGUGGAUCGAAGCCUUCCUGCCCUUUAGCGGUUUGUCUCCAUGUAUGUAUUCUUAAAGAAAAAUAAACAGAAUUAAGCC
rnacentral:lncRNA from 1 species